rnacentral:misc_RNA from 1 species
AAAGUCGUAACAAGGUUUCCGUAGGUGAACCUGCGGAAGGAUCAUUACAGAAUGUAACCUUUUUGGGUAACACUCUUCUCUAUCCCUUUGUCUACCUUACUCUGUUGCUUCCAUGGUGCCAGCCAAUUCGUUGGCUCCGGACAGGUGCUAAAGCUCCCUGCUUGGAAGUGCCCAUGGGUGGUCCGCCAGGGGAACGCCUGUACCCGGGCGGACCAAACUUGAUAUAAUCUGAAAUUGAGAAAUUGUCUGAACAUAUAUUAAAUACAUAUAAAACUUUCAACAACGGAUCUCUAGGCUCUU